UACGGGGGGGGCAAGCGUUGUUCGGAAUUACUGGGCGUAAAGGGCUCGUAGGUGGCCAACUAAGUCAGACGUGAAAUCCCCAGGCUCAACUUGGGAACUGCGUCUGAUACUGGAUGGCUUGAAUUCGGGAGAGGGAUGCAGAAUUCCAGGUGUAGCGGUGAAAUGCGUAGAUAUUCGCAAGAACACCAGUGGCGAAGGCGGCUCACUGGUCCGGUACUGACGCUGAGGUGCGAAAGCGUGGGGAGCAAACAGG
rnacentral:rRNA from 1 species